rnacentral:antisense_RNA from 1 species
AAUAACCGAAGAUCACCGCAGGGUUUAAUGUAGGGUUAGUAAUAACACGAACAUCACCGCCACCAGGUGCCCAGGUGUCGUAUACACCGCCAAAGAACAUUGCCUUCAGCACCAACAGGAGGGCACCACAUCCGAGGAUGAUUAGGUGGAACCCGAUGAUGUUAGUCAUCUUGUUCUUGUCUUUCCA